GUUUAUGGCCAUACCAGCCUGAACAUGCCCAAUCUUACCUGAUCUCGGAAGCUAAGCAGGGUAAGGCGUGGUAGGCUUUAAAAA
ensembl:rRNA 5S_rRNA 5S ribosomal RNA